GGCAGCCUUAUAGAUGAUCCGUAAUAUAGCACCCCUCGGUGACGGAACGAGUUUUCACGGUGCACAAUGAAGUGGAAAUAAAGAGUUGAAGCACCUGUCGAGACUCCCGUUUAUUGACCCAGGGGCAGCUACAGUGAAAACUCGACCAUCGGAAGAGUAAGGCUUCAGCUAAGAAAAUCAACGUUAUUGCACAAGUAUUUGAUAACGGCGGUCCGGCCCAGUGUACGCCCCUUUCGCGCACCGGCGAGCUCAGCCAAUGGACGGUAUUUGUUACGCUUCUAGUUCAAGCGAACUGGGUAGCGAUACAUAAGAGACUGGUGAUAAAGCCUAUGAUUAAGUGCUUAAUGUUUAGGGUUUGAAUGUGUUUUAUAAUGUAUUCCUUUUCUCCUUUUUGGGGUUGAAGGGUAAAGUUAUAUUGAUUAAAAUAUUUGUAGUUUA